AAAAAAUUUUUAAUAAAAAUAUAUAAUGGGGGUUAAAGUAUUUUUAUAGAAAAAAUUAGUUAAUUUAUAGUGGAAUAGUAUUGUGGAAGAAAUUUUAAAUAAUUGAAAAAUAAAUUUAUUUGAAAGUAAUUUUAAUUUAAUGUAUCUUGUGUAUCAGAGUUUAUUAAAAAGAUUUUUUAGGGAAAAAUUUCUCGAAUUUAAAAGAGAAAAUUAAUUAAUAAAGUUAUUGUUGCAUAAAUAUUUUAAAUAAUUAAUUAGAAAUGAAAUGUUAAUCGUUUUUAAAUAUAUCUAGUUUUUUCAGAAAAAAAUUUAAUUUUAGUUAAAAUAAAAAAUAAUUUAAUUAAUUAAAUUAUUUUUUAUUUUAACUUAUAUUUUAAGGGAUAAGCUUUAAUUUAAAAUUAUAUAAAUAAAUUUAAAUUUAUUGAAAAUUAUAUAAUUUAUAUUGUUAAAAAAUUUUAAUUUAUUAUAAAUAAUUUCAUUAUAAAUAAAAUUUAAAUUAAUUUUAUAUUUUUAUGGGGGAAAAAUAUGAAUUAAAUUAAAUUAGUUAUAAUGGUAAAAUUAGUAUAUUAUUAAUAAGUAAAAAAUAAUAAUUUUUUAUAAUCAAUUAAAAGGAAUUCGGCAAAAUUUUAUAUUCACUUGUUUAUCAAAAACAUGUCUUUUUGAAAUUAAUAUAAAGUCUAAUCUGCCCACUGAUUUUUAAUUGAAGGGCUGCAGUAUUUUGACUGUACAAAGGUAGCAUAAUCAAUAGUCAUUUAAUUGGUGACUUGUAUGAAAGAUUGGAUGAAAUAUAAACUGUCUCUUGAUUGUUAAAUAGAAUUUAAUUUUUUAAUUAAAAAGUUAAAAUGUUUUAAAAAGACGAGAAGACCCUAUAGAGUUUUAUAGUUAAAAUUAUUAAGAUUAUUUUUAAGUUUAAUAAUUAAAAUUAUUUUAAUUAUUUUGUUGGGGUGACAAAAAAAUAUGAAAAACUUUUUUUACAUGUAAAACAUAUAUAAGUGAUUAAGUGAUCCAAUAAUAUUGAUUAUAAGAAAAAAUUACCUUAGGGAUAACAGCGUAAUUUUUUUUUUUAGUUCAAAUAAAAAAAAGAGUUUGCGACCUCGAUGUUGGAUUAAGAUAAAAUUUAAAUGCAGAAGUUUAAAAUUUUUGAUCUGUUCGAUCAUUAAAAUCUUACAUGAUCUGAGUUCAAACCGGUGUAAGCCAGGUUGGUUUCUAUCUUUUAAAAAUUAAAAUAUUUUAGUACGAAAGGAUUAAAUAUUUAAAUUAAAUUUAUAAUAAUGAAUUUUAUUAAAUUAAUUUUAUUGUAAAAUU
rnacentral:rRNA from 1 species